rnacentral:rRNA from 1 species
UUUGCCUACGGGACGCAGCAGUGAGGGAUAUUGGGCAAUGGGGGAAACCCUGACCCAGCGACGCCGCGUGAGGGAAGACGGUCUUCGGAUUGUAAACCUCUGUCUUUGGGGACGAAAAAGGACGGUACCCAAGGAGGAAGCUCCGGCUAACUACGUGCCAGCAGCCGCGGUAAUACGUAGGGAGCGAGCGUUGUCCGGAAUUACUGGGUGUAAAGGGAGCGUAGACGGUCCUGCAAGCCAGAUGUGAAAGCCCGGGGCUCAACCCCGGGACUGCAUUUGGAACUGUAAGGCUAGAGUGUCGGAGG